rnacentral:tRNA from 1 species
GCCUGGUUGGCUCAGUUGGUUGAGCAUGUGACUCUUGAUCUCAGAGUUGUGAGUCUGAGCCCCACGUUGGGUG